rnacentral:tRNA from 1 species
CAAAAUGUAGCUUAAUUCAAAGCAUUUAGUUUACACCUAAAAGACUUCAACAAAAAAAAUGAACAUUUUGA